UAUGGAAAUCAUUUAGUCUUUGUCGAAGAAAUAUCUCAUAUUGCUGUCUUCAAAGGAGACUUAUUAAGACAAAUGUAAUUAAGAGUCAGUCCAAGGAUCUAGAGUCAGGUAUUCACUUUUCUGUGGAAGCAAUUAGUCUUCACACGAGACUUUUUAAGUCCAGCUUUAAUGUGUUUCCACAAAUAUUAUAAAGGACACCCUAAUGAUCAAUUCGUUUCACAGAAAAUAAAAAAACAAUCAAAGAAAAAAAAUAUGAAGCAAUCUUGUAGUGAGAGAAGAAUGAUAAUAACCAGAGGGAUGCUCUUUGGGAGUUCAAGGGCGAGUUCGAUUCUGAAGGGAAGACAGAGAAGUGGAAGAACAACACUGAUUGCUGUUCUUGGGAUGGUGUCUCUUGUGAUCCUAAGACAGGAAAGGUCGUUGAGUUAGACCUGGAGGACAGUAGUCUCAAUGGCCCUUUGAGAUCUAAUAGCAGCCUGUUUAGACUACAACAUCUUCAAACCCUGAAUCUUGUCAACAAUAAUAUUUCCGGUAUCCUACCAGAUUCCAUCGGCAACCUCAAAUAUUUGAGGUCUUUGAGUUUUCGUC